rnacentral:piRNA from 1 species
UCCCAUGUGAGCAGAAGAGGUGCACGCCAC